AAUAAAAUGAACUACAUUUUACCUUAAAUUAUAACAUGUAAGUAUAUAUUAUUUUUAUGUAAAAUUGCUUUACUAAUAAGAGAUGCAAAAUAAUUUAUAACAAAAUACGUAUAAAAUAAUUCAGAUUUCCAUAAUUAUAACAUAUGAUGUAAUUAUUCUGAGAAAGAAGUUCUCCCAACUAAAUACAAACCUGAGACACAAAAGUUCCAAAUCCUGUAUGAUUGUCGCUAAGUCACAAUCACUGUUGAAUGAUCUGCUGUAAUACUUGAAUGCAGCUACAUAUGGUUUGUUCAAACUUAAAAUGCAUUAUGCAUUUUUUAUAAUUAGUUCGCUAUUUGUGACUAAAAUUACAGAUAUGUUUAUUUUAUAUGUAAAUCUAUUAUCAUUCCUAAAUUUCAUUGCAAUCAGUAUGAUGUAAGUUGAAAUUACCCCUUCUUAGUAAGAUGUGCAUAUGAAAAACUGUAUGAUGCUUAUUAUCAUGCUUCAGAACUUUUAUUUUGAAAAUUACAUUUUCUUUUAUCUCUACUCUUUGAUUGAAAAAUGUCAUAGACAUAAAGCUUGAUAUGACACCAAAAGAACUGAGUUUAAGACUUAAAUAUGUUAAUUAGAAACUUCUUAUUUCUCUCAAUAGAUACUAAGAUUACAUGAUCUUAGAACAUUCUUUUCUAACAUUUUGUAUAUUAUGAUAUAAUUCAUGAUGGUCAAACAGUUGAUCAAUAAAAAUAAAUAAUAAAAAAUAUAUGAUGGAUUACAUAUAUUUUCAGGAAAAUUUUAGCAACUGUAUUAUAAAAUGUUUGCAAUGUUUGCAUUUAUGUAACUAUAAUAGGUAUCAUAUUCAAAGGAGCUUCAGGAUCAUUUCUCAGUUAUUUAUGUAUUUAACACAUUUAUCGGAAUAAGACAUAAACAUGACUCAAGAUGCAAAAAAAUGAGUGUCAUCGAUAGAAAAAAAUCUCCAUUGAACCAUAUUAAAAAUAAUGAAUAGGAGUCAUUUUAGGUAAAGAACAUAACUGUUUGCAUUGGAGGAGUUUGGAUAGAGUUAUAUAACAAAUUCUCAAUAAAGUGAUUGUCCAUAAAAGCUAAUAGCAGGAAGGAAAUUUCCUCUGAGUCUACUUAUAUUGUUAGUCAAGUUUUCUUUAGCGCAUUUGAUGGCAGAAUUUCGGUUUAACGAACUUUUGCUUUUUUUAUUACAAUUUAACAGUUUCCAAUGCGUUGAAACAAAAAAAUGAAAGUCUUAACUUUAGGAAUCCAGCGGUUCAAAAGUAUGUAAAGUUGAGCGUUUUUAGCGUAUUUGGCAUUUUACUUUGAUGCCAUGUUGUCUCUAUCUACAAUUCGUUCAAUGAGUGGAGCUGCUAGUUGCAAUAACUGCAGGUGUGUAUCGACCAUAUUGUAGCGGGAUUUUGAAUCUUCAAUGCUAAUCUGUGCAGACCAAUCAGAUUACGGAUAGAAGCAAUAUGGCAUUAUACUAACUUGUAAAAUAUGCUAAAAAUUUUCAGUUUCACAUCUGCAUACUUCUUAAACGGUGGAGACCGAGCUUAAGACUUAAAUUUAUGUUAUAUACGUAUAAUUAUAUUAUGUAUCCAUAAUAUGCAUAUUAAUAUCAUUAUAUCAAACAAAAUCUUAAUCGGAGAUAUCUGUUUUACAGCCGUACCUAUGAUAGGAAGCUACAUGUAUAAAUAUAAGACAUUCCUAUUUGUUA